GCAGGUCAGCAUACUGCCGUGAAUACGUUCCCGGGCCUUGUACACACCGCCCGUCCACACCAUGAGAGGUUGGGAAUACCCGAAGCCUGUGAGCUAACUUAUAGAGGCAGCAGUCGAAGGUAGAAUCAAUGAUUGGGGUGAAGUCGUAACAAGGUAGC
rnacentral:rRNA from 1 species